rnacentral:rRNA from 1 species
UACGAAGGGUGCUAGCGUUGCUCGGAAUCACUGGGCGUAAAGCGCACGUAGGCGGCUUUCUAAGUCAGGGGUGAAAUCCUGGAGCUCAACUCCAGAACUGCCUUUGAUACUGGAGAGCUUGAGUCCGGGAGAGGUGAGUGGAACUCCGAGUGUAGAGGUGAAAUUCGUAGAUAUUCGGAAGAACACCAGUGGCGAAGGCGGCUCACUGGCCCGGUACUGACGCUGAUGUGCGAAAGCGUGGGGAGCAAACAGG